rnacentral:rRNA from 1 species
CCUACGGGAGGCUGCAGUGGGGAAUAUUGCGCAAUGGGGGCAACCCUGACGCAGCAACGCCGCGUGAUUGAAGAAGGCCUUCGGGUUGUAAAGAUCUUUAAUCGGGGACGAAGGUUGACGGUACCCGAAGAAUAAGCACCGGCUAACUCCGUGCCAGCAGCCGCGGUAAUACGGAGGGAGCAAGCGUUAUCCGGAUUUACUGGGUGUAAAGGGCGGGUAGGCGGGCCGGCAAGCCAGAAGUGAAAUCUGGGGGCUUAACCCCCAAACUGCUUUUGGAACUGCGUGUCUUGAGUGUUGGCGAGGCAGGCGGAAUUCCCCGUGUCGCGGUGAACUGCGUAGUUAUUGGGCGGAACACCAGUGGCGAAGGCGGCCUGCUGGACAUUACCUGACGCUGAGGCGCGAAAGCGUGGGGAGCAAACAGGAUUAGAUACCCCAGUAGUC